rnacentral:rRNA from 2 species
AAGUCUCCUGAAGGAACGUUGAAGACGACGACGUUGAUAGGCCGGGUGUGUAAGCGCAGCGAUGCGUUGAGCUAACCGGUACUAAUGAACCGUGAGGCUUAACCUUACAACGCCGAA